CUGACUGCGGGGAGGGAAAGACCGUGAGCCCUUCCGGACCGGACCUGGGCGAGACGGGCUGCCGACGGUAGCGACCAGCCCCGGCGCCCCGACCCCGACCUGGCAAAGCUCUGGUUGGCUGUGCGGAUGGCCUCCAGCUCCCGGCUCAGGCUCUGCCGUCCAACUCCCAGAGGGCUUCAGGCCGGCAGCACACAAGACCCCGGAAGCCCCUGCCUUUCUCGGAUUCUCCCUGACCGACCUUCUCCUCCAGAGACUCACUGUUUCCUCUGGUGGCGGCACCGUGGGCUCUGGGCUGGGCGCCCGCACAGGUGGCUCAGGCAAUGGCUCGGCCUCCAGUUCCAUGGCUGUGGGGCCUGGGACCUCCUCGUCCCUGGGGAGAGGAAGAGGGCGAGGGGAGGGAGAGCCAGGCCCCCUCAAGAGGUUGUCCACCCCCCUGGGUUUAGAGCCAGGACUCCCUCUUCUGUGGGCGUGGGACAGCCAGGCCCUGAAGGGCCCCUGGAGUGAGGAGGGGGAGGGGCAGGUUGAUGGGACGGGUCCCCUUCUUGUUAGUAAAGGCCCGCCCUUCACAUGGCCUCAGGCCCCUGGGAGCUGGCCUCUCUGCACCUUCUGUGGGAACCUGGGGUCGAGACACCCAUAUGCGGGGUCACUCAUCUCCCCAUCCAUGUGACCUUUGCAGACCCCUCUCCUUAGGACUACAGGACAAUGAGGGGGACCCCACCCAGCUGUGGCCACCUCCAAAGAUACAGUGUUAAGACUGGGUGUGGGAUCCCAGGACUGAUUCUAGUUCUCUGCACCCCGCCCCCUGCCAUCCCCAGCUGCUGGAGGGAGACCCCUCCUCCCCAGGAAUAUGAAAUUGCAAUAAAAGUGGAUGGCCCCUCGCACCCAGCACUCCCUCUCUGGAAACAGGUCUCAAGGACCCCAGGAUCCUGGGCACCCCCCGAGACCACGCUGCAGCUGUCCAUCCAAUCUGGGUUAUAACAGAGAAGACGGGUUAACGGAGUCCUG